GACGUAGGGCGCGAGCGUUGUCCGGAAUUAUUGGGCGUAAAGAGCUCGUAGGCGGCUUGUCGCGUCGGCUGUGAAAUCCCGUGGCUCAACUGCGGGUCUGCAGCCGAUACGGGCAGGCUAGAGUUCGGUAAGGGAGACUGGAAUUCCUGGUGUAGCGGUGAAAUGCGCAGAUAUCAGGAGGAACACCGAUGGCGAAGGCAGGUCUCUGGGCCGAUACUGACGCUGAGGAGCGAAAGCGUGGGGAGCGAACAGG
rnacentral:rRNA from 1 species